UCCACAUAAAUAAGGCCCAGCUCGAAUAAUUUUUUGUCUUUCAGUUAGUGACAUUUCCUCAAACACCUUGAAUGCAUAACAGUUUAUAUCCAUCCUAAUGGGGUAUGUAUACAUGAACCCCCAAUCAAUUAAACAGAAAUUGCUUAAAACGACUGGCAUUGCAUAAAACUACUACCACAAAAGUCCAUUAAAACCAUCAAUCUUGAGAUAUAAUUCAAACGAAUUCUAGCUAAGCACUUCUAAUACAAAAAAUAUUCAUAACGAAAAAGUAUGUUAAACAACCUAAGAAUCCAAAUUUGAGAAUAGAUUUAGACUACUUACAAAUAGAUAAGAAUCGAGAAUCUCAUGGGAAGAAGUUGUAUCAGAGGGACACCAUGAUUAUAGAAGAGGGAGAAACCACGAGUAUGAAAUUCAGUAAAUCAAACCACUAACACCCAAUUACAAUGAAAUUAAGACAUGUAUUCGGUAUAUACACAUUAAAAUUUCAAUAUAUAGAGAAAGUGGAAUACCUUGUGUACAUCAGCUGUUGGUUCUAUAACAAUUUAACGAUUUGGAGGGGAUUUUUGUCAUUAAUCGCCAUUUCUCGCUGUGCUUUGUUUUUGUUUCCACCUCAGAGAUUGAUUGAUUUGGGGGAGAUUUUGGGUCUAGUGAUAGGGGAGAGAAGAUUUUGGAAAUUUGGUGUAGAAAAAAAUUGAAAAGCCCUCCUAGCUGCUUGCUGAAUGCUGCUUG
rnacentral:lncRNA from 1 species